rnacentral:rRNA from 1 species
UACGUAGGGUGCGAGCGUUGUCCGGAAUUAUUGGGCGUAAAGAGCUUGUAGGCGGUCUGUCGCGUCUGCUGUGAAAAUCCAGGGCUUAACCCUGGACCUGCAUCGGGUACGGGCAGACUAGAGUGCGGUAGGGGAGAUCGGAAUUCCUGGUGUAGCGGUGAAAUGCGCAGAUAUCAGGAGGAACACCGGUGGCGAAGGCGGAUCUCUGGGCCGUAACUGACGCUGAGGAGCGAAAGCAUGGGGAGCGAACAGG